rnacentral:tRNA from 12 species
GGCACUUUGGCGGAGUGGUUAACGCGCUGGCCUGCUAAGCCAGUUCCUUCGGGAGCGUGUGUUCGAAUCACACAGGUGUCG